rnacentral:rRNA from 1 species
UACGAAGGGGGCUAGCGUUGUUCGGAAUUACUGGGCGUAAAGGGCGCGCAGGCGGCCUGCCAAGUCAGAUGUGAAAGCCCCGGGCUCAACCUGGGAUGUGCAUUUGAGACUGGCUGGCUUGAGAUCGGGAGAGGAGAGUGGAAUUCCCAGUGUAGAGGUGAAAUUCGUAGAUAUUGGGAAGAACACCGGUGGCGAAGGCGGCUCUCUGGACCGAUACUGACGCUGAGGCGCGAAAGCGUGGGGAGCAAACAGG